rnacentral:ncRNA from 1 species
UUUAAUUAAGAUUAUUGCAUGUAAGUUUUGGCGAGAAUUAUUUAAUGUUUAAUCUAAAUGGUUGAAUAUGGAAAAUCUCCUUAUCUCUAGAUAUUUAUUGAUUCGCAGCUUGUUUUUUUAUAAUAUUUAAUCUUUUAUGAUCUAGCUUAUUUUAAUUUGAUUGGCUAAUACUGUGCCAGCAGCCGCGGUUAUACAGUUAAUCAUAGUUAAUUUUAUUUAAUUGAUAUUAUUAUUUUUAUUUAAUUGAUAUAAUAUUUUUUAAUUUUUGGGUAAAAUUUAAAUUAAUGUUUAAUCUUAUUUGGUUGAUUUAUUAUAUGAAAUUUUUAUUUAAACAAGGAUUAGAUACCCUUUUAUUAAUAAUGUAAAUUUGUCUUUGUAGUAUUGUUAGUUUUGAUCUUUAAAUUAAAAGGAUUUGACGGUAAUUUGAUCAUUCCAGAGGAACCUGUCCUGUAAUUGAUAAUCCACGAUAAAUUUUACCUUAAUUGUAUUGGUUUGUAUAUCUCUGUUUAUAUGAGUGUUUUAAUAGAAUAUUAUAUUCUCUUUCAUUAUUUAAUAUAAUUUAUAUCAGGUCAAGGUGCAGCUAUAUUAAGGGUUGAGAUGGGUUACAUUAAUUUAUUAAAUUAUGGAUUUUAUUUAUAAUUGAUGAAUUUCUUAAAUGAAAUUGGAUUUGGUAGUAAUAGUUAUUAUUUAUUUUCUAUGAUAAUUGUCCUCGAUUAAGUACACAUCGCCCGUCACUCUCAUUAUUAAAGUGAGAUAAGUCGUAACAAAGUAGGCAUACCGGAAGGUGUGCCUGGUUUAAUA